rnacentral:rRNA from 1 species
UACAGAGGCCUCGAGCGUUAGGCGGAAUCACUGGGCUUAAAGCGUGUGUAGGCGGACUUCUAAGUACCUUGUGAAAUCCCACGGCUUACCCGUGGAACGGCUGGGUAUACUGGGAGUCUUGAGCCAGCUAGGGGCGAGUGGAACAAAUGGUGGAGCGGUGAAAUGCGUAGAUAUCAUUUGGAACGCCAAUGGUGAAAACAACUCGCUGGGGGUGUGCUGACGCUGAGACACGAAAGCCAGGGGAGCGAACGGG